rnacentral:rRNA from 1 species
GACGAACGCUGGCGGCGUGCUUAACACAUGCAAGUCGAACGAUGAACCCGGAGCUUGCUCUGGGGGAUUAGUGGCGAACGGGUGAGUAACACGUGAGUAACCUGCCCUGGACUCUGGGAUAAGCGUUGGAAACGACGUCUAUUACCGGAUAGGACCUUGGAUCGCAUGAUCUGGGGUGGAAAGUUUUUUCGGUCUGGGAUGGACUCGCGGCCUAUCAGCUUGUUGGUGAGGUAAUGGCUCACCAAGGCGUCGACGGGUAGCCGGCCUGAGAGGGUGACCGGCCACACUGGGACUGAGACACGGCCCAGACUCCUACGGGAGGCAGCAGUGGGGAAUAUUGCACAAUGGGCGAAAGCCUGAUGCAGCAACGCCGCGUGCGGGAUGACGGCCUUCGGGUUGUAAACCGCUUUUAGUAGGGAAGAAGGGCUUCGGCUUGACGGUACCUGCAGAAAAAGGACCGGCUAACUACGUG